CGAAACACCGGAAGCUGACGGAAGAGGAUUGAACCGAUAGCAGUAUUGUCUGAGAUGACGGCGGGAGCGCACGAACGAGAACCAGUGACCAAGUUUCAAAAAUUCACGAAAACUGCCUAAUUCUCCACACAGUAAGCGGAGGAAGGAAUGACGAACAUGUUGGCGGCACACGCUGGUACAGGUGGUGAUGAGAAAGUUGUAAGGGAGCUGCGACAACACCACCUCCAGCACCUCCACUGGCAGGCUGAGUCCCGCCCCUGAGAGGACCCCCAUGUGUGCCAUCUGUGCAGGGAAGGUGGCUUGUGACAUGUGACUAAUGAUGUCCAGUGUUGUCUUUGUAUACCUGCUCAGGGACUGGCAUCUAAGUGGGUCUUUUUCUUUAAUCCUAUUUGUUGCCUUGGCCAGACUUCCCCUCUUAUGUUAAAAUAAACAAAAUAAAGAUUGGACUAC